UAACCAUACACAGUUACGACAGUAGCCGAAAUUCUUCGUACAAUACUUUACGACGCAUGCGUCAACUGUACUAUCUAAAACAUGGCGAUGCCAUAAUAAUAAAUCAGAAUAAACAUGACAAUUGGAUUACCAGUGUCAUCAAGAGAAAAUACUAUUUGCGCUAUUUGUGUUAAUCUAUCUUUAUCUUUUAAUAGAUGUAAAAUAUAAAAAUAGAGCGACUCAAAUAGCACUAUUAGCAUCUUUCCGAACGCUAACAAUUUCAAAGCUGGAUAAUUUGAUCAAGAAGAAUAUGUAAACAAG